GAUCCUGGCUCAGGAUAAACGCUGGCGGCGCACAUAAGACAUGCAAUUCGAACGGACUUAAUCGAAAUAUUUAUAUUUUGAAGCGGUUAGUGGCGGACUGGUGAGUAACGCGUAAGGAACCUGCCUAUUAGAGGGGAAUAACAGUGGAGAAAUCAUUGCUAAUACCGCAUAUGCCAUAGAUAUCACAUGAUAACAGUGGGAAAGGAGCAAUCCGCUAAUAGAUGGCCUUGCGU
rnacentral:rRNA from 1 species